rnacentral:tRNA from 1 species
GGCUGUGGCUCAGUGGUAGAGCACUUGCCUAGCAUGCAUGAGGCCCUGGGUUCAACCCCUAGUACCA